CACGUCAAGACUGGAAAUCACAGCACUUCAGUGUGUUUCAGUUUUGCACACUAGGGAAUAAGAAACGCUAAGGGACACUGUGAAAAAGGAGGACUGCAGAAUAAAGCGGGGAAGACUUUCUGGUAAGGCCUACUUUGGAAGAACACCUGGCCUAUGACCUGGCGAACCUAGGUGACUCCCCUCCCCCCUUCCUCCAGUCAUCACUGCAAGAAAGAUGGAGCUCUGAUGGUGCACUAAAAGCCAUGCAAGAAAUGAGAGAGGUAUAUUGCCUAGAGGUACACUGCCUAGAGAAGUGUACAACAGUAAACCUAAAGUCGGUCAUUUCUUUUUGAUUAAAUUUUUUUUAAAUUUAAAAUAAAGCUUUUUUUCCCCCACAAACUAAAAAGGUAAAUUUAAUUUUUUUUUUUACUUGUAGCUCUCAGUAAAAAUAUUUAAGAAGUAUAUUUUUUUUUCCUAGGCUUGCUAGCAGUAUGUGUUUUGAAUAGCUCCUGUUGUGAUCUAUGGUCUGAAGAUCAAUUUUAAAAAAUUACUUUUGCUUAAAGUAAUAAAAUACUAGAAAAGAAUGCAUGAAUAAUAUUUUAAAUUAUUGUAUAAUAUAUUAUAUCACCUCUGGGAAAAAUGUACUUAGUUUUUUAUAUGCAGUUGAAACUUCUUUGCAAGUAACUUAUGCUUGAUGUGCUAAUGAAAACUGGGAGGGAAACCACAGAAAAACUGACUACUCCAUGCUAGGCUGUUGCCAUGUAGAAUACAAAACCUUUGAUUGUCAGGAAAAAUUACCUUUUAAAGUUCAGGAUGUGAUGGGGAAAAAAAAAAAAUCAAUAAAUAAAAGGGAAGAAAGAGCUUUCCUACCCGAUACCUGGCUGGACAUUGCAUGGGAGUGAUCAGGACCGAUUGAUUGUUGCCGCUCUCAUGUGUACUUUGAAUCGCUGAUAAUUCUUCUACCAUUCAAAAUGAUAAGUUACUUUGUCCUGAAUCCCACUGAUAAAAAUGGAAUUUGUAAACCAAUGCAGAAGUUUGCUUUGGUGAAUUUCCAGCUGUCCUAGUAGGGGAAAAAAACCCUCAGGCUGAAUGAAAUCCCCACGGACAAAAUAAUACAAAAAGUCUGGGCUGCAAUUUGAUACCAGCCGAAGUCCAGAGUCAGCUCCCCUAAAGUUAACAGUUGUAACAAACUACUGCAACUGGAAAAAAAACCCCACCUAUAUGGUGCCCAUUAUUGCCAGGAAGGCUUGGAAUAGCUGUACUGCAAAAAGAAUUAGCAUAAAUAUGCAGCCAUUAGUAUUAUAACCAGCCGAUUUUGCAGAAUGUGUGCUGUAUUUUAGACAGCCUUCAUGCUAUACUUUAACAAAAAAAAACAACAAACAAACAA